UACGUAGGGUGCAAGCGUUGUCCGGAAUUAUUGGGCGUAAAGAGCUCGUAGGCGGUCUGUCGCGUCGGAUGUGAAAACCCAGGGCUCAACCCUGGGCCUGCAUUCGAUACGGGCAGACUAGAGUUCGGUAGGGGAGACUGGAAUUCCUGGUGUAGCGGUGAAAUGUGUAGAGAUCGGGAGGAACACCGGUGGCGAAGGCGGGUCUCUGGGCAAUUCCUGACGCUGAUGCACGAAGGCUAGGGGAGCAAACGGG
rnacentral:rRNA from 1 species